rnacentral:tRNA from 1 species
GCCCUGUUAGUGUAGUCCGGAAAGAUUUGCACCAUAAAACGCAGAUUUUGGAUAACCAAUCAUACAGCCCUUUCGAGGCUGUGACCCGGGUUCAAAUCCCGGACAGGGCA